rnacentral:ribozyme from 1 species
AACAUUCUUAAAACGAAGAAGGAAAAAAGAAAAGAAAAAAUAGUUCUGAUUCUUGAUUGAUAG